AUGGCCAUCGGGGGUCAAAGCCUAGUAUCUGUUCUUAUCAGCUUAAUAUAUUUUACGGGUUGUAUUUGGACCUAAGAUAUAAAACUUAUUUUUGGAAGUUGGCGGAGUGCUUAAAGCGUGCUUAAAGCGGUCCGACCUCCGCCGCGGGUCGGACCGGUAUUGCACAAUCUUCGGGAUCGGCUCAUGUAUG